rnacentral:lncRNA from 1 species
AGAUCAUGCAGGACCCUGAAGAUAACAGAAAGGGCUCUUCAUUCUGUUAUUUUCAGUAAGAUGGAAGAGAAUUUGGGGGUUAAAGGUGAGGACUGGCAUGGCCUAAAGUGUGUUUUAAUAGGAUCACUGUGACUUCUGUGCUAAAAGCAGACUGCAAGGGACAGAAGCUGAAGCAGGAGGAGGGAAAAUAGAGAAGAGUAAGAAAAAGUGAUGGAGGAAGGAAGAGGAAAAGAAGCAAGGAUCCAAAAUGCAAAUGUGGGACAUUUUAGAAGAGCAGAACGUUGCAUUUCAGCCUUCCUGUCUGAUAUAACCCAUCUGGUGACUGCAUUCAAAAGAGCCCUACCAAGAAUAUUUUCAUGGAGUUAUUUUUCCACUGUGUAUUUCACACUUCAUCUUUGCAGGAGAAUGGAUGGAUUUACUUGGCACGUAGCAGGGGACAGUCUGUGGAAAGAAGUGAGAAGGAUAAUCCAAUAGCAAAAGUGAGGGGUGAUGAAGAGUGAAAGGUACCAACGUCCCCUUCCGCAUAUUCCUCUCCACUCUCUCAGUAUUGGAAUCUAAGUCUGAAGUUUUAGACAAGGCUCAGGGACGGCUUAAACUGUAGAUGCAGUUCCCUUCUCUAGUCCCAAAGGCUCCCAGUCAGCCCUAGGCCUUGUGUAGGGAGCUUCCAAAUGCCUACUCAAGGUUUAAUUAAUUUUCUGCAAAAAAUGAUUGGUUGACAUGACAGCAAUAAACAUCAAAUUCCAUUAAUUAAUACUGAGACAUCAGUGUCCACGCUGCUUCUCAAUUACACAUUCAGAGGCAGCCACGCUUAUGCUGGCAUCAAUUUGGUCGUGAAGCCCAGUAAGGGCUGUUAAAAUGGAAAGAGGACCAAGGGGAGGGAGGGGUAGGGGGGUGGCAUCUGUUCUUAUGCAGAGAUAAUCAGCUUGGAAGAAUUCACACUCCAAAGCCCACUCCCCAGAGAAGGGUUUAAGAGACCUAGAUGAAAGGAUUUAAAUUUGGUUGGGUGAGGCAUUUUCAUUUUGCUGAUGGCCUGGAAGGGAACUAUCAGCUUGAUGAAAACAAAGCUUCCCUCGGGUUCUAAGACAUAUUCUUCAAACUGGCUCCCCUCCCAUUGUUCUUUCUUUCUCUCUUUCUUUUUUUUUUUUUUUUUAUUAGAUGAACUCAUUUAUUUGACAUAUUAAAUUAGACAAAGAAAUGUAUAUGUAACCAGAUAAAAACAAUCACAUUCUCAUACUACUUGAACACACAGCAGUGGUCAAAAAUAAUGGAUUGUAAAAUGGACCCCAGGAUUUAAUGCAAAAACCACCCCAUACGAGGAGCUACAGUCAUCUCCAAUUUCAUGUUAAUUCCGAAGAGAGUCAAAGGGGAACAAAAAGCAAUCUUUGCUUCUUCCACUCAAGAAAAAACCCUAAAGGGACCACAGCUCCCAUCAGGCACAUGCUUUAGGGCCUGGAGACAAAGUGAAAUGUUCUCAUGCACACAUGAAGGGUUUGGUCAUGGAGAUAAAGCAAUGUGAUUAAAUCUUGAUAGAUUUUUGUUUUAAGAGUGAAAAGAAAAAAAAAAAAAACUGGCCUUGUUUACCUGGUUACAAAGAGUGCUGUUGGUAAUCCCUGGUAAAUUAGCAUCUUGAUGAGCAUAUUUUCCCUCCCAGGAUGAAGGCACCAAGGAAGAAUCUAUUUGAGGCCGUCUCCGGCCCAUUCCCACAUGGUGGCUCCAUCCCUACCCCUUCAUAAGCUCUGCCCCUGGAAGCAGUUGUUUCAUUAUUCCAGAAAUUUUAUGAUAAUUGUUUGUGACUUCAAUUUAGAGAUUAUAAAAAUAAAACCCCAGCCCCUAUUCCAGAAAUUUUAUGAUAAUUGUUUGUGACUUCAAUUUAGAGAUUAUAAAAAUAAAACCCUAGCCCCACCCAGCCUCAGAGGACAAUAGGCAAAGUUGAUCAUUGUUACAUUUCUUCCAUACCUUUAUAGGGAAGUAUUAUUCCCUUAUUAAUAAUUUAAUGAUCUUUUCCACUUUAAGGAUGGAGAGACAAAGACCCAAAAAGUGAAGCAGUUUGCCCAAAGUCACUCUCCAUAUGGGUUACAGGUCCCUAAUAGAUACUGAGUGUUCAGAACAAGGGAGCAACGGAAGGGGGUGGGCUGAAACAAGAACAUGCUUACUGCAUGCUCCAGCUGGGCCUGGAGGCUCCAGGUGCAGAGGCUGAUGGAGUUAAGAUAGGGAGGACUCUUUAUUAUGAUUUAUUUCUGUCACCAUGUUUCAAAAGGUUGGAGAGAAGGUGACUGGCCUAGACUAAAAAGUUGGAGCUGCACAGAUAGAAAUUAAAUGGUAGAGGUUAGGAUGUAAUGAUUUUGGAUUCAGAUAUCCUCUGGUUAUAAAAAAAUAAUGAAGAGAAAAGAAAAGGCCAAUCUGACACAAAGGAUUGGACCUAAUGCUGAGAAAGGAGUCAAAAUAUUUCUUUCUAUUCCCAGGCCCCAUCACUAACUUGCAGAACAAUCUUGAUCACCUCGCUUAAUCUCUCUGAUCCACAAUCUCCCAUUUGUUUGAGGAUACUUGGUUAAACCUGCUCUGUUAUUGGGGUUGAGAUGGGAUAAGAAUCAAAUGGCAUUUGUUGAGCAGAAAACUCCAUUCAUUUAAAAAGACCUAUACAUGGGGUGGAAGUUGGUUAUCUACCACUUAGAGAAUAAUGGCUAGGGCUAAUGAGCUUUUAAUAUGUCCCAGGCACUAGGCUAGAUAUUUGGCAAACUAGUCCAUUCAAUCUUCACAAAUAUCCUGUGAAGUAAGUACUAGCAUUGCUCUAGGUUGCAAGAUGAGGAAACUGAGGCUCAGAGAUGUCAAGAUACUUGCCUGAGAGUUGCACAACAAGUAGGUGGCUGAGCUGAGAUUGAAAACAAAAUUUGUCUAAUUCUGGAGCUUGAGCACUCACACUCUGGGCCAUUCCACACGGCAAAAGCACUGUAGUGUAAUUCAGAAAAAGUCAUCACUCGCCUCCAUUGAACACUAGGUGAAAAACAUCAAAUGGGAGCAUACACUUGCAAAAAGAGAACAAUUUCUGGCCCUAAACAACCUCCUAUUUUCCCCAAUCAGUACAUUUUCAAUCCCACGUCUCAGAUGAGAGCCUACAGGGAAAGAAAGCAAGUAGAGAGGUUUGGAGCAGACAUAGCCCUGAAACAUCCUGAAGGCUCUAUGGAUCAGCACAUGGCUCCUUCUGCUUGAGUUCAUUCCAAACAAAUCCAUUAAAAGCACCAUCUUAAUGAAUAUUUUAUACAGUUACGACAUAGUGAGUCCCAUUUAGGAGGGGCUCGUACUAAAGGCUGAGACAAUGAACUACUCAAAUAGCCAACUAAUCAGCAAGGCCAAUAGAAAUCUGGUCGAGGGCACAAUAGUUUCACAGAAAGAAAAAAAAUGAAAGCCAUAUACCCUCUUCUUGCUGGUUUAAGAUUAAAAAAAAAAAAAAAAAACUCUACCUACCAUGUUCAAAUACUGCCAGCCAUUAGGAAAAGUCAGCUGUUUGAGUAAUUCAUUUGUUUUCCUUGGCCCCUUCACAGCUUCUGAAGAAAGUCAAUGUACAAUUUGCUUGUUUCUGUUAGAUUAGGUUCUAUCUUUGAGCUCUUAGUAAACAUGCACAUACUCACACUCAAACACACACACAUGCCUUAACCUACUUCCCCUAGAAACAAACUGGAGGAAGGAGAGAAUCCUCAGGAACAAAUUCAGUGAUACCCCAGGUGCUGUUUCCCCAAGUCUUGCCCCUGACACAGGAGAACCUGGUGUGAUUCAAGGACUUUGGAGGAGAAAAAGGCUGAUCCUACAAUCCGGAGAGCAAAUCGGUGGCCUGGGUGUCAAUGCACCCUGUGGAUGGAUUCUGUUUGCUCUGCCAGCCUUGAUUUGCCUACUGAUUUUGUUGUUGUUGUUGUUUUAUUUGAGACACGGUUUGACUCUUGUUGCCCAGGCUGGAGUGCAAUGGCACAAUCUUGGCUCACUGCAACCUCUGCCUCCCAGGUUCCAGUGAUUCUCCUGCCUCAGCCUUCCAAGUAGCUGGGAUUACAGAUGCCUGCCCCUACGCCUGGCUAAUUUUUUGUAUUUUUAGUAGAGACAGGGUUUCUCCAUGUUGGCCAGACUGGUCUCAAACUCCUGACCUCAGGUAAUCCACCCGUCUCGGCCUCCCAAAGUGCUGGGAUUACAGGCGUGAGCCAUUAUGCCUGGGUUUGCCUACAGUUUUUAAGAAAUUUUAAUUCAUUUUUAACAUUUAAAAAUGUAGAGCUUUCACAAACUUUUCUAGGUUUCUGAGUUCUCUUGAAAGAUGAAGAGAGCUGACUGACAUCACAGAGUCUAAUUUCUGUACAGCCACAGUCACCUGGAGCCAAGUUGUAGCUGGGAAAAGAACUGGGAUUCCCACUUCCCAGCCUCCACGGUGUUUCCCCAAACAGAAACACAGGAUCCAUUGGCAUUUGUCACUACCCUUAUGUGGCUGUUUUCCUUAGAGUUAAAAGGAGAUCAAGGUAUUUUUUUAUAUCAACAUCUCUAUCUAAUGUGGGAAAGUGAAUGGCAGAUUAGGAUAGGCAUGUAUUUAAAGAAAAAGGAGAGGAAACCAUAAGCCUAAUUCUGUGUGGGAAUAAAGACUAUGCAUUUGUGUUUGGUUUAAAGUAAGGUUCUCACCUGGUCCCUGUGGGCAUUUGAGAUUGACACCCUGGUCUAAAGUUACUGACGAUGUCUGGAAAUUGGUCUUUAGGCUCUGUUUUCAUUCCCAUAGUUCCAGGUGGCUUCCUUAGUACUUGGCCCAUUGCCAGGCAUGUAGGAGAUGUGCCGAAAAAUAAAAUGCAUAAUGAACUAAAAUUACAUUGCACCCUUUUCCCCUCUUCAUUUGAACAGAUUUCUGGGCACCACCUACCCCAUGGUACCAUCCUCCUUUGUUGCUGAUUUAAGAAUCCUUUUAGAGCCUUUUUUGCAGUCUAUACAGCUUUACUUCAGGACCAAUCAGACUGGAAAGAGCCUGAUAAUGGGAUCACAUAGAUACUUUAGUGACUGGUUUGAUAAAGUAUUCACUUAGAGACCAGCCAAACUUAGAUUUAAAUUCCAACUUUGCCACUCAUUGUCUUAACCUGGGUUUCCCAAGAGCAGGGCCUGAGAUAAAGAUGUGUGUGGAGGCUUAUUAAGGAAUGUGAUCCCUGGAAUAAGGGGCGGGAAAGUGAAGAGGGAAGGAGGAAAAAGCAAUGCAAGGAAGCCUGAACUGCUGCAGGCAAUUGGUUACCUCAUACAGGAGCUUCCGAGGAGCCUUCUGGAAUGUGUGUUGCAUUCAUCGGCCAGCAACAAUGGCCUUUACCAGCUCCUGCCCACAGCCCCGGGGUAUAUCAAUAUCCUCAUGCAACCAAAGGAAGCCAGAGAAAGUGGCAAGGCCAAGAAGAUGUGAGGUGCUGUGCAAAAGAUGUCCUAUACAAUGACCUUGGUUGAAUUACUUCAUGUCUCAAAACCUCAGUUUCUCCAUCUGUAAAAGGGUAAAACAUUAGUGUUUCCCUUUUAGAGAUGAAGGGAGGAGGUAAUGAAAUAAUUCAUGUAAAGCCUAAUAAAAUGCAUAGCACAUAGUACAUGUUAAUAAAUGGCGAUUUCUAAUAUUCUAAGAACUGUGCAUCCUGGAGGACUUUAUCUGAGAGCUUAUAGCAAAAAUCAAUGAAAGUGAACAAUAGUAAUUACAGUCUCAGCAUUCGCCUAACGAGAUGGCAAACUGGCUGCUACUAAGCCAAUUCUGUCUCAUAAACGUGUUCUUUUGCACCCUCCCCAUGCUAUAUAUGUGUAUACGACAUAUAAUAUAUGUAUAACAUAUAUUUUUAACAGAAAUUGAUUUUUUGCCAACACUUAAAUUUCAUAAAAUUUCAAUAAAAUAAGAUUUCUAGCUUAACCUUGACAAAUAGAAAGAUUUGGCCCCGCCGGGCUAGUAUUCCCACAGCCAGCUACAGUUGAGUAGUGGUGACACUUUCAGCUGGGGCACAUCUUCUCCAAUUAUCCACCAUCCCUCUGUGUCCACUUCACCCAUUCACAACCUGUCUGCCCCCAUCGACAUUUGCAUUUGAAGCCCCUAGUCUGAUCUUUAACCUAGAAAAGCAGGGUCCCUGGAAACUCAGCCAGGACCCAGGGACAGAAAAUGCCUGGAAACAACAAGGUUUUGUUUUCCAGUAAGAAAGCAGAAGAGCCACACGAGGGCCAGGGCCGUGGGACUCAAUGUCCCUGUGAUGGAGAGCUAAGUGGAUCCUGCUGAGGUGAGAGUGUGUGGUUCCAGCGAGGCUGGCUAUUACCAACCUGAGGCUGAGGUCACCCCAGCUGCUCCUGGCGCCUGCAACUCUGUUUAUUUCAUUCUGGUUCAUACCAGAGAUUUAUUUUUAUGAACAGUGAACAUUUUUUGUAACAUUCCCUCAUUUAACCUUCAUUAUCAAAGUCUCUGCCCAAAGCCCAUAUAAGCACCAUUAUUGCCCAUAUAACAUUUUCCAACACAAACCAUUUAAGGCAUUUUUUUCCAUUUUUAUUUAUUUCUCUUCUGUUACAUUUCAUUUGAAAUGUGCAUGGGGGAGAAUGUGUCUUGUUUUUAUGUUGUCUCAUACAGACCAUAAGCCCUAAUGGUGGGGGCUGCCUAUUUUGGAGGUUAAUAAGCAAUGGGGACAUUCGUCAUAUGGAACAAACAACCAGGAUAUGCUGGCCUCUUAAAAAAGGACUAGAAAGGAGUUGUGUAUGACUGAGGAAAUUGAAAAGAAAAUAACCCAGCUUUUUUGUGUCUUCUGAAAGCCUAGAAAACAAGAAGCAUGGUGGCUCCAGAGCAGGAAGCUGGGAGUAUUAGGAGCACAGUGCUGUAGGCUUGCUUCUCAGAUCACCCAUUAAUAAGCAGAUUCUCCAUGGAGGGUGACAGUAUGCCACGUAUCCCUGAAUCCUCCAUACCUGGCCACUGUCUGGUCCACGGUGGGUAAUUAAACAGUUUAUACUAUGGAUCUUAGAAACUCAAAUGACAUAAGAAAAAUUAGUAAUAUAUUGGCUCACAUAGUUGGAAAGUUCAAGUUCUUCAGGCAUAGCUGUAUGCAAAAACUAAAAUAGUGUCUGCUAUGAUCUGAAUGUGUCCCCCAAAAUCCAUGUAUUGAAAUGUAAUCUGCAUUGUGCUAUUAAGAGGUAGGGCAUCAUGAUGGCCCCGCUCUCAUGAAUGGUUUAGUGCCUUAUCAAAGGGCCAGAGGCAACUAGCUUAGACCUUUUUUACUCUUCUGUUCUUUGGCCAUGAAGGUACAUAGAUUUUGUCUCCUUUUUGCCCUUUUGCCAUGUGAGGAUGCCACCAUGAGGAGACCCCAUGGAUGGACAGCAGGCCCUCACCAAACACCAAAUCUUCUGGCACCUUUGUCUUGGAUAUCCUGGACUUUGGAAGGUUUCCUUGCGGCACAGACGAAGAUUUGAGGGAAUCGUCGAGAUAACCUCUCAUGGCUUCCUCAAUGGGUUUCAAGGAGAACAGCCGCAACUGCAGCUUCCGAUUGGAGAAGGCAGGUCAAGGCAUGUUGAGCUUCACGGAAUCAGGCAAUUUGGAAGCUGUAGGGGUCCAUAUCCUAUCACCUUUCUUCCUAAAGGACUUGCGCUAUACUAUAAAUUGUUCUCCUUGAACGAUAUCCGAGUCAACAUCCCAUCAAUUAAACUUGAGGAAAGAGGUUGUGUUGGGAGGAGAAAGGAAGAGAUGCUUUUUGUCACCAGGCUGGCUGGUAAAAUGAAACUUGGCAUGUGACCAGGGAGGAGGCUCUCUCUGAGGCUGUUUCCUUGGCUACCGAAGGGGAGAGACACCUGUCCAUUUCUAUGUCUUAGACAUGUUGUGAGGGUAAAAUGGAAUAACUAAAAGUAAAAUGGCAUGAAAAAAUGUAGACCAGGGUUUCCAUUGAAACGUCAGGAUUUUCUCUUGCCCUUUCUCUUCAUUGCCCUCAGGACAAAAUGAAUACUCUUUGAAAGUGGUCAACAAAGCCCAACCAGCCUCUCAUCCUGGUCACUCUUCUCUUCAUCCCUUAUCAGCCACACUGGAUGGUCCCCCAAGCACUUUCCCACUUCAUUGCCUUUGUAAAUACUCUCUGCGUUCCUGGAGCUGUGCUCCCUGCUCUCAUCCAGGCUGGACUCCCCUUCAGCUGAGUGAUUCCUACUUAUCCUCCUGGUCUCAACUUUGAUGAUGCUUCUUCUACAAAGCCUUUCCUGAGCCUCACUUCUCUCAAAUACCUAGAACUAAGUUUAAUUGGUCGUUUAACUACAUAUAUCCCCUGCCAAUUAUAAAUUACUCAAAUAGAAGAAUCUGCCUUUUCACCCUCACAGAUAUCUCUGGCUGCUAACAGAGUCUAAUACUCAAUAAAUGCUUGUUUACACCUACUAUAUACUCACACAAAUUAAAAACAAAAAUUAAAUUUAAAAAAAUAAAUAAAAUAAAUGCUUAUUGAAUGAAUAACUGACAAAUGAAUAAAUGCAUGCUUUCAAUACAAGUUCCUUGAUAUAGGUCCUUUUUUUUUUUUUUCUGUGAGACGGAGGCUUGCUCUGUCGCCAAGCUGGAGUGCAGUGGUGCAAUCCCGGCUCACUGCAACCUCCACCUCCUGGCUUCAAGUGAUUCUUCAGCCUCAGCCUCCCUAGUGGCUGGGACUACAAGUGCACGCCACCACACCCAGCUAAUUUCUGUAUUUUUUAAGUAGAGAUGGGGUUUCAUUAUGUUGGCCAGGAUGCUCUCGAACUCUUGACCUCGUGAUCCACCCGCCUCGGGCUCCCAAAGUGCUGGGAUUACAGGCGUGAGCCACCGCGCCCAGCCUGAUAUAAGUCCUUCUUGGGGAACUCAAGUAUAGAAACAUUUAGUGAAUAUACAAGAGAAAACUGUUUAGUGGAGUUAGUCAUUUUAAUCAAGGAAGACUCUGAAGCUUAAAUCUUCACUUCAAUGUUAUUAUUAUAACCACUAUUUUAUAAUAGCAGUAUAUCAUAGAACUCAGAUUUAUCUAUUCUAACUAUAUGCUAAGCAAUUUGCUAAAUGCUUUGUACAUAUUCGUGUUUUCCAUCUUUCCUCAAACUUUAUGAAAUAUAUACUAGUUUCUAUCCUCAUUUAAAAACAAGAAAACAAAACCAGAGAGGUUGAGUGAAUUGUCCAAUGUCACCCAACUAUUAGAGAGUAGAGUCGUAAUUUAAAUCCAAGGCUUCCAGGGCCUAGUGUCUGAAUUGUUAAAAAUUAUUGCUCUUCUGCUUCCCCUGCCAGAUAGGCAAACACCAAAGUCUUUUGGGUCCCCAGAGUGCAGAAAAACUAGAUUAAAUACAAUCCUGGAUGAAUUCUCGACUUGAGGGUCUGUGUCUUUCCCCAGCAUCUUCUCAUUCACGAAUAAGAUUCCCCUAUCAAGUUGUUCUAAUCACAGCUUGCUUCUCUCCUCCCAAAGCCAGGGCAACUAUCUCUCCCCCGAAUCCCUAUCUGAACUGCUGAGUUUAUGUUUUAAUACAAUUACGUAGCUUCCACUCCCCCACAGAUCCUCUUUUUUCUUCAUUUGCUUCCAAUAAAGAGACAUUAUUUGCUUGGGAGCUUUCCAGGGUAACAUGAAUCCAUCUUUUGAAAACUAGUCCUUGCAUCUGGGAAAUUGAAUGAUGUUUUGGUGUUUGCUUAGCAAAAGAGUCGGUCUAUGGAAACAGCAUUGUUAUUUUAUUAUCUUUAAUGCUUUUACGCCAUAUUAAACAGAUUUCAUUUCCAAAGAACUUUCUCACUGCCCAUCCCUGCUUUUUAAACGGACAAGUCACUUUCUACUUUCAAACUGGUUGCCUUCAAAAGAUGCCACUGAGCACUGAUUUGGCCACUUAGCUGAAUUAACCAUGUGAUCCAUCUGUACCUUCCUUCCCUGCUCUCACAAAACAUGUGUUGCCUUUAACAUAAUGAGAAGCCCUUUUCUGAUCAGACCACUUCUUGUAAAAUUAAAUACACACACAUCCCAGAACCCCAAAUCCAUCAUAUGAAUAAAACGGCACACUCUCUCAAUCCAGACAGCAGUUCUUUUCAAAAUGAGAUGUCUGACACUACCUAAUCCAUGAACCAAAGAGAUUUUUGAUCACCCUAGUUUUUCCCAGUAUUGCUUUUUAUUCUUUGCAUCAAUAAAUGUUGUAGCUGGGGAUGCUUACAGUGCCAGCAUGUGAUAGCUUCAGUAAUCAUCUCAUCCGGAGACCAAGAUACUGCUCUAUUUCUUUACACCCCAGGUAAGAUUUUGAACCUUGGGAAAGCUAAACACAGCUGGUGUUCUCUAUCCCUGAAUAAAGG